rnacentral:lncRNA from 1 species
GAAUGGGGAUUGCCCAGGAGAACCUCCGGCAGCACAUCCUACAACAGGUGCUCCAGCUGAAGGUGCGAGAAGAAGUCAGAAACCUACAGUUACUCACACAAGCCUCAACCGAGGGUUCUCCAUAAACAUGGUUAGCCUUCCAAGCUGCUGUCCUGCCAGUCGAUAUGAACAUGGCCUGUUCCUCACAGAAAGACGAACUCUUGAUGCUGCCAGAAGAUAUCCUUGGAGCAUUGACAGAUUAACUGGAUUAACUGGAAAAAAAAAAAAAAUUCGGUCAAGAUCAUGGGCUUUGGAAAGUCUUAGUUUGCUAUGGAUUUUUAAAUGAGGUGCAUAAUAUACAGUGCCAACUUGUUCCAAGUGGUCAUUGGCAGACCAUUAGCUGGAAAAUAGCUUCCAGUUUUCAUCACUGUGCAUAACUCAAGCUCCCUCGGGGAGCUGUCUGUGCCCUUCACUAGAAGUCCUGUUUUAGCAUGGCAACUACUGGAUUAUUUUAUUAUGUGUGCAGAUGGCAUGAUGUGUUAGAAAAAAAAAAUUACAGCAGUUCUGCAGUCUCAGUGGAAGUGUUCACAAUAUUAGGCCCUGGUAGAGCCAUUCCUCAUGAUACUGGAUUCUGGGAAGCCCCAAUGCUAUGACUGGUCCUGGGGACACAGAAUUGGGCCUGAGGAAUUCAAAUGAACUACUGCCAGGUGCUGAGACAUUGUAGCUGGGAAUGAACUGGUUUAGCUGGGAGUGCUCUGAGAACUACUGUUAACACCCUUAGAAAAUUGGACAUGCUUUAUGGGGCAGAUGUUCAUGAUAUGAUGAUGGUGGUUCAUCCUUACUUUGGCAUUUGCAAAAUAUGUUCUGAACAUGAGUAGAGUUUUAUAGCUUUUUUCGAGUCACAAAUGUGCUGGACAAUGAUUAAAAGAUGAUGGCUGAAGAUGGAGAUGGGAGAAGGCAAAGAUGGAAACAAUGAAAGAGCCCCAUUGACGAUGGUGUCUCUAAAAAUGCCUUAAUUCCUGGCACAUACCACAUAUUUGCAUGUGAGCUACUACUGUUUUCCAAACUGUCAACCUCGGUUUGAAAUCAUUUGGGGGCAUAGUUUUGGAAACGUGGUGGCCUAUAAUCUGAGCAGUUACAAGCUAAACCAGCAAAAUAGAGAAAUGAUUUCCUUCACAGCCUUGGGAUUCUUUGUUAUGCAUUGAUCCACAGUUACCCAUGGUUACUUCCUGCUGUGCUGUACCUUCUUCCCAAGAUAUAUGUAGGACGUUUUACCUCCUAGAAGUGCAGAGAUGGCUGUGGUGAGUUUUGUUUAAUGGGAAGCAGGAGACAGGAAGGUAGGGGAUAAAUAUUUUGACGACUAAGGGCUGUAAACUGUGGAUGCUGAACUUUUCCUUAAACCCAGGCUGCACCUUUUAUUUAAAGGCUGCCCCCCCCACACACACACACACAUGCUUGUUCAGGAAAGGCACUCUUGGGAGUGAGCCAAAAUGAAUAAUUAUCAGACUCUUGAGGGGUACCCAGGGGAUAAAUUGUUCCAGCUCCAGAGCUGAAUUUAAAUAUGCAAAGCAUCAGUGGUCCUGCCUCAGUAAAAAGCAAAUCCCUUCAGUAGAUUAAGCCUACCUAGGGGGGCAAGAGACCCUAUCAGCUUUCUUGUGGGCGUGGCUCAUCUUCAAGUCUCUGCGCAGCCUCUGUGAGGUGUGUAACCGCCCCGUGGACUUCUACCUCCAGAAUACAGGGAAAUAACCCCGGGUUCCCUCCGGAGUCCCUUCUCAGUUGCUCGGACAGUGGCUAAUAGUCCUUAGAUCUGAGGGACUCCUUCCUGGUUUUUAACCUUCAAGGGGAAAAGGGACAUCAACCUUACGUGAGAAUAUAAUGGAAGCAUUAAAACUUCUAAUGGGCGUACCCCCUUGUUCCUUGCAAAUGUUUUCUUUGUCUGCAAAUGUCACAUAAUCGAUUUUGGCGCGGAACAAUGGAAGUCUCACAAAGGAAAAGUUUUCAAGACCCCCUUAGCACUUUCAUUUUGCCAAAACCUCCUCUUUCAGUGCUUCAGCGGCUUCAUUCUUUGUACUGUUUUCCUCUCCAUUCAAGUAAUUUUGUUACUUGACAACUAGACUUAAAGCUGCCAUGGUCUCUUUUUAAAAGUCUAAUCUUUGAAAAUGACAUCAAUUCCUUUAUGCCUUAAAGGCAGUUUUAUUCACCUCUUCCACAACCCUCUCCACUUCACUUUCUUGCUUUGUUUUGUGAGGUGUGGUUUUUUUUUCCUCUUAAUCUCUUUCUUUUCAUAAUAUAGUUCCUUGGGCAGAUUUCAAGUAUUCCGCAAAGAACCCAAACAGAAAAACAUAGUCGUCCCCUUUCUUACCAGUUCUGACUAAUAAGUCCUUGUUGAGCUUGAUCUGGGUGAAAGCUUGGUGCCCAGACCACACUGGGCAGGAAUUCUCAUCGUCUGGAGAGUGGCCGGUCACUGCAGUAAUCAAAACAAGACCCGCGACUCACGAGGAAGGACAGACGGCCUGGGAGAUGCAGCUGCUUGGGCACAGCUGGGGACUGUGUUUCAAAGACUAGCGGGUCCUGUCCCUUUGUUUCUUUAGAUGUGCAUCUAAUCCUGUAGCCAGAGAACUGUCUUAUGAAUUCUGCUUUAUCAAUGUGAGUGAUCCCUGGCUCCGCUGCACAGCUUCAAGGUCAGAGAGGGCUGCAUUUCCAUUACUUUGCUCUGGUGACUUCUGCCUCUAGUAAAGAGGCAAGAAGGCUUCAUUUUUUAAAAAUGUUUUUAAAUAAAUUUUAUGGGGGUCUCAUUGACUUAACAAAGUUGCAUUAGUUUCAGGUGUACAGCAAAGUGAAUCAGUUAUACGUAAUACCUAUAUACCUUCCAAGGAGGCUUCUUUUGAAAGCUAACCACCUGUGGAAAGCUUGAAAAACUGGCCAGUUGCACAGGGAGGUUUGGCCACCCUUUAAUAAAAGGAACCAAAUCAAGCUUUCUCUAGGGAUUCUCAUUUGGGAAGUUGGCUAGGAGGAUGGUAUCAGUACAGGCUUUCUUCUGGCCAUUAUCUUGGCCCUGCAGGGAAAAUUCUGGGCAAGGAGGACAAGCACAGAGAUCUAACAUAUUUAGAGUGCAAUUUGCCCAUGACAAAUCUAGAGGAGAAGUGCCAUGGAGGAAAGGGCUGGUUUCAGACCUCCUUCCCAGCAACACAGACUGAGACAUAAUGUCCACAGAACAACAGAAAAGGGGUAGCAGAGGCUUUGUAAAUCUGGACUUUCCCAUGCCACGUUGGGCUAUUUUAAAGCCUUUCAGAGCCCCAAGCAUCCUUACUUCAGAGGCUCCCAAUUAUAUCAAGCGCUCGAAAGCACCAACAACAUACACCUAAUAAAAUUUCAAAGUAGCCAUGUGACUUGCAUUGCUUUGCAGGUGACUGGUUGACAUUAAGUGUUACAGCUAUUUAGACAUUAAUUCUGAUUAUGCAAUUCCUUUUUACAUUUUGAAGCCAGUGGUUUGGGGUUUCCAUCGUUUCAUUGUUUGUUUUGUUGUUGUUGUUUUCCAAACCUCAAACAUUUACAGAAGCCUUAGAAAGGCUCUUCGACCCAGAUCUUUUUGCCUGAAGCACAGAAAUAGAAACAGCCCUCUGAUGCAAACAAGGCAACGGUUAUAUUAAUCCAACUUUAGAGAUGCUAGCACCUAAACUCUUUAAGACCCUGAUGACUCUGCUGGUUGCCUUCUGCAUUGUUUAUAGCCUUUUAAGUUUCAGUCAUUUGGAUCAAGGGAAAUAAACAGGCUGCCUUCCCAUGGCCUUGCCACACCAGCACGCACACAACCACUACACAUGGAAUCCUAAGCCAGAUUCAUGUGCCACAGCACACAGAUCUGUUUCCGGUGAUCGUAUCUAAUUACCAUCCCCGACCCAACCCCCCAUUUUCUAUAAAAAUGGAUUCAUAUGCUUUACUCUAAAAAAAGUUCUAAAAUGAGAUUCGUACUCAUUAGAUCAUGACUUCUCUUGGGGUGGGGGAAUUGACUUUGCGACAUAACCUUGGAGAAAAAUCACUGGCUAUUAAAUGCCUUGGUGAUUGCUCCUGUGCCCUUCCAAAAACCGAUGUUGGACUUCUCCCAUCUCCCCAGAGGUCAGCCUGGCCUCCCUCUCAAGCAGCACAAAUAUCAUGAAGAUACCUUUGGAAGUGUCUAAACAGACUCCCUAUUCAAGCAUAAUUCCAAAAAUGGGAUUUGAAUCAAGGACUGCCUUGAUUCUGGGUUAUGUGAUCCCUAAAUCAAUUCCAAUUCUUUAGAUAUAUAUCCACAGCAUUUUUUUUUCACCUGCAUCCUCUAUGUUAAUGUGUUUGCAUCAGGGGCUACACACUAACUCUGUCACAACUUUUGACAAUGUCUAUGCCACGUUCCCAUUCCGUGCAUCAAGAGAAGACCAAAAACAUUUCCUUUGGUACCAGCCGCAGAGGUUCUGAAGUACAGAACCAGGUAUUUUUUCACAUCAGAAGGCCCCUGUUUAUAGGUAGAAACUUUAAAGAGAAACAAGGGAAGGGAUAUUCCUAUUUGAACUCUGGAAUCUGUUUUUUCAUUGUCGUUCGGGUCUCACCUCAGAGCACCCUUCUCUUUCUAGAAGCAGCAGCUUCUUCGGGGAGUGUUGGCCCCCAUUGGAGGUGGUUGGGAUUCCACUUGCUUAAACUUACAGGAAGGGCACCGUAAGGCUCUCUGAGGCUCUGCGUGAGUUCUCCACUCCUCCCUUUCUUUCACCAGUAGAAAAAUGCUAUCCUUACAAGGCCAUGUUUGAGGAGCCCUCAGUUUAGCCAGUGAACCUCCACGUUACAGAGAGCUGAACAAUGCCAGGUUCUUGACUGUGCCCUCUAAGCCUCAGUCGUGAUUGGCACAGAAGCAACCAGUCUGCUGAAAAGCCGAGCCAGCACAAAUGUUUUGAAACGAAUUCCACUGAAACUCUUGUUUGUUACAUCAUACUUGCUGUAGUUCCAGUUAAUCCAACUAUUUAAUAUCAUGAGGUACUAAAUUAAAUAGCUGUACACAAAAUUUUAGAAAAGAUCAAUAUUGUAACAAAAUUACAUAUUAGCAGUAAAAAGUACCCAAGAAAAGAAAAUAUUGAUCCAUUGUGGUUUCUAUACUUGAGUUAUUCUUAGGACUCUGGAGAGACUGGCACUGCUCUGAUAAAUGAGAAGAUGGCUUUCUUUGGUCUUUGAAAAUGUUUAUCGGAGUAUAGUUGAAUUUGCAAUGUUGCGUUAGUUUCAGGUGUACAGCAAAGGGACUCAGCUACCUAUAUACACGUGUCUGUUCCUUUUCAGAUUCUUUUCCUAUAUAGGUCACUACAGCGUGUUGAGCAGAUUUCCCUGUGCUGCACAGUAGGUCCCCGUUACUCCUCCAUUCCAUAUAUGGGGAAGACGUUUUGAAUUCGAGAAUACGAACUUGAACUAAGGGGAAACUGCCUGUCUCUCUGGGCCUCUGCUCAUCUGUUUGGGAUGCUCCCUGUUCCAUCUUAGCAGACAGGGUUGUUGGGAGGCCAAAAUGAGCAAAGGGGAGAAGCUAUGCUGUACCACCCAUAUCUGUGUAUUCAUCCUGGUGAGCUGGGCUAUUGGCUUUUGUCAGUGAGCCCUUUUCUUUGGUUUAUGCCUUCCCUUCAUAGCUCUUAUUACUGAGAUUCCAUUCUGGAAUUUUGAAAAGUAAAAUAAGAAAGUUACCAAUCAGCAUUCUGAAUGCACACCCAAUAUAUGGCGACUGGUCUACAAAGCUCAUGGUCAAGGUGCCCAUUCAUCCCCACAUCACCUCCCAAAGGUUUAGAGCACUAGCCGAGCGGAGCUCAGUGCAGGUGAAGAUUGCCAAUCCCCGGGGUUGAAGACAGCCCAUGAAGUUGACAAAUUGAGGGUCACAGGAAGCAGAGAGCCACAUCGAACUUCCUUGAUGAGCUGCCAUGUAUUAGUCUUUGUGCUGGGAAAGAAAGAGGAAGAAAAAUGAGACAAUGUGAAUUGCAUGUGAGACCAGGGCUCUCAAUUGAGUAUGAGAGGGGGAAAAAUCCUGCACAAAAAACAAAACAAACAAACAAAAAAAACCUAGUUCACUGUUUUGCAGACACUAACAAACAUGGCUAUAAAAGCACAUUUUGUAACACAAAAGCCUACGUAGAUCGUAGACAUGUUUAUAGCAUCCUUAAGUGAGUAGUUAAACCAGCAGUCUGAAUUCUCUUAGUCCCCUGAGUGGUUAAUUAAAUAUUUUCCUUAUUCAUUGCCCACAACUGUGGUUUUCCCCCUCUAUGCACCCUAGAAAAAUUCCCAAGACUAGACUUAGGAGGACACAAGCCGGUUAUGUGGUAAAAUAAGAGUGCCUUUUCUGUUGGAUGUUCAUUUUAGUGCCCUGCAUUUCCAGGGCAUACCAUGUUUAGAAACUUUUUUCUCUAAACGUAGGAAUUACUAGGCACCACGAUUUUGAAAUACCAAUUUCCAUAUCUUAAGCAGCUGUCAACUUGCCAAUUCCCUUUGGGUCUCCUUUACAUUUUCUUAUAAUGUUUCCUUGUGUUUUGGGUUGCCCUCAAAAAGAGUUUUGGGGGGGCAUGACUUUUUAAAUUGAUAGAAAUGCAACUGUACAGAUUUUUGCCCCCUUGUAUCUGUGAGCAUGAUCUCUAUCAGGCUUGAAAAAUCUGCUUUAUCAUUUUGUAUAUUUGACUAUUUUGUAUUCAACAUUACUUGAUUCCUUAUGUGCAUGGCGAUGUAUUAAAAUGUGGGAUUUCU